GGAAGUGUAACCACAGCUGUAAACGUAGGUCCUAACAUUAAAGCUACUGCAGUCUCACAGAUGGAGGCAGCAAUUGAUGCAUUAUCACGAGAAUUGACCAAGCUGCGAACUGGAAGAGCAUCGGCUGGAAUGCUUGAUCAUAUCAUCGUUGAUUCAGGAGGUGUUAAGACACCUCUUUGCAGGAUGGCUGUCAUUUCAGUGCUAGACCCAAAAACCUUGUCAGUGAAUCCUUAUGAUCCAGAUUCCCUCAAAGAGUUGGAGAAAGCCAUUAUUUCAUCUCCAUUGGGGUUAAAUCCUCAAUCCGACAACCAGAGAUUAAUUGUACCAAUACCUCCGUUGACUAAGGAGCAUGUGCAGGCUGUGUGCAAAGUGGUUGCGAAAUCAUCUGAAGACGUUAAGCAAAGUAUAAGACGAGCACGCCAGAAGGCUUUGGACACGAUAAAGAAAU
rnacentral:misc_RNA from 1 species